GACGAACGCUGGCGGCGUGCUUAACACAUGCAAGUCGAACGGAAAGGCCCUGCUUUUGUGGGGUGCUCGAGUGGCGAACGGGUGAGUAACACGUGAGUAACCUCCCCUUGACUUUCGGAUAACUUCACGAAACUGCGGCUAAUACCGGAUAGGAGCUCCUGCUCCACGGUGGGGUUUGGAAAGUUUCGGCGGUUGGGGAUGGACUCGCGGGUCACCCGCUUGUUGGUGGGGUAGUGGAUGACCAAGCCUUUGACGGGUAGCCGGCCUGGGAGGGGGACCGGGGACAUUGGGACUGAGAGAGGGCCCAGACUCCUACGGGAGGCAGCAGUGGGGAAUAUUGCACAAUGGGGGGAAGCGUGAUGUAGCAACGCCGCGUGCGGGAUGACGGCCUUCGGGUUGUGAACCGCUGUCGCCUGUGACGAAGCGUGAGUGACGGUAAUGGGUAAAGAAGCACCGGCUAACUACGUG
rnacentral:rRNA from 1 species